CUGCUGUUAAGAAAACUGGCAUUAAAAUACUACUGAUGGAUUGGACACUGUAGUCCUCCAGACAACAUUAAUCUAUUGAUGACUCUGAAGUGAAGACGUGAUUGAUGCAGUUACAGACCUUGUUGUCAUAGGCAGUUGGCCGCAUUUUCACCAGAUUUGUUCAGACCUCCUGCUGGUGUUAUUAAGGAUGGAUAUAUUUCUUGGCUCAAAGAAAUGGUUUGUCCUCUGCUUCUGAGACAUUGGUGAAAAACUGUAAUUAAGGAUUUUUUGCACACUUCAUUUGGAGAAAGUGCUGAGCCCACUUUCUGUCUCAUGAAUAAACUUCAGUGAACUGCAUUAAUCUAUUAAGAACACAGAAACAUUGGAAGUGA